rnacentral:rRNA from 1 species
GUUCCUGCGCAAGGUUAAUCCACGCAGGGUGAGCCGGCCCCUAAGGCGAGGCCGAAAGGCGUAGUCGAUGGGAAUCACGUUAAUAAUCGUGAGCCAGCGGGUGUGUGACGGAUGGGAAAGCGUGUAUGUCCUUAUCGGAUUGGACAUGCUGUGGACCCGUUCCAGGAAAUAGCCCCCGCAUCAGACCGUACCCCAAACCGACACAGGUGGACAGGUAGAGUAUACCCAGGCGCUUGAGAGAAUGGUGUUGAAGGAACUCGGCAAAUUGCCCUCGUAACUUCGGAAGAAGAGGGCCCCGUU